UACGGGGGGGGCAAGCGUUGUUCGGAAUUACUGGGCGUAAAGGGCUCGUAGGUGGCCAACUAAGUCAGACGUGAAAUCCCUCGGCUUAACCGGGGAACUGCGUCUGAUACUGGAUGGCUUGAGGUUGGGAGAGGGAUGCGGAAUUCCAGGUGUAGCGGUGAAAUGCGUAGAUAUCUGGAGGAACACCGGUGGCGAAGGCGGGACUCUGGGCCGAUACUGACGCUGAGGAGCGAAAGCGUGGGGAGCGAACAGG
rnacentral:rRNA from 1 species